rnacentral:rRNA from 1 species
AUUGAACGCUAGCGGGAUGCCUUACACAUGCAAGUCGAACGGAGUGUCGAACGCGUGUGUUUUGUCUCGUCACGUGCCCAUUAGCGGGGGAUACCUACGCGUCAGCGUACCUAUUACCGCCUUCUAUUGGAGCGGCCCAUAUUGUAGUAGCUAGUUGGUGGGGUAAAGGCUCACCAAGGCGACGCUCCGUACCUGGUUUGAGAGGACGACCAGCCACACUGGGACUGAGACACGGCCCAGACUCCUACGGGAGGCAGCAGUGGGGAAUUUUGGACAAUGGGGGAAACCCUGAUCCAGCCAUCCCGCGUGUGCGAUGAAGGCCUUCGGGUUGUAAAGCACUUUUGGCAGGAAAGCGGUAGCUGAAGAAUAAGCAACGGCUAACUACGUGCCAGCAGCCGCGGUAAUAG